CAUAUCAGAACUAAUUAACAUCAGUUCCCGUAAGAUCACCGAAGUUAAGCAACGUUGAGCCUGUUCUGUACCUAGAUGAGUAACCGCUUGGGAAGAUUAGGUGUUAUA